AAAACUUUGGGCAAGAUGGCCCGGCGGUGAUUUCCGUGGCGGUCUUUCCUGCGCCUGGCCUCUGCGCCGCAGGCCCAGCCCCCGAGCCUCGCACGUGCGGCAGCCCCGGCCCGGCCCCGGCCCCUCCUGCCCAUGGCGGUGGCCGAGCUGUACACGCAGGAGCUGGAUUAUUCUGUCAAUCCAGAAUCUCUGCCUCCACUUCGGAAUCCUGACAUCCUCGUGGGCGAGAAUGACCUCACGGCUCUCAGCUAUCUUCAUGAACCCGCGGUGCUCCACAACCUCAGAAUCCGCUUUGCAGAAUCCAAACUCAUUUACACCUACAGUGGAAUCAUUUUGGUGGCCAUGAAUCCUUACAAGCAGUUGCCAAUAUACGGAGAUGCCAUCAUCCACGCCUACAGCGGGCAGAACAUGGGUGAUAUGGACCCACACAUAUUUGCCGUGGCAGAAGAGGCAUACAAGCAGAUGGCCAGAAACAGCAGAAAUCAGUCCAUAAUUGUAAGUGGGGAGUCAGGUGCUGGAAAGACAGUGUCGGCUCGCUAUGCCAUGAGGUACUUUGCCACUGUCAGCAAAUCGGGCAGCAACGCUCACGUGGAAGACAAGGUCCUGGCAUCCAAUCCCAUCACCGAGGCUGUUGGAAAUGCCAAGACCACCCGAAAUGACAAUAGUAGUCGGUUUGGGAAAUACACAGAAAUCAGUUUUGAUGAACAAAAUCAAAUUACAGGAGCCAACAUGAGAACUUACCUCCUGGAGAAAUCCAGAGUUGUCUUUCAAGUUUCAAGGAGGAUUUUCAGAUGGACGUUUUUAAAAUCCUGGCAGCCAUCCUACAUCUGGGCAAUGUGCGGAUCACCACGGUGGGCAACGAGAGGUCCUCAGUUAGUGAGGAUGACAGUCACCUGAAGGUGUUCUGUGAGCUCCUGGGCCUGGAGAGUGGCAGAGUUGCUCAGUGGCUGUGCAAUCGCAAAAUCGUCACAAGCUCUGAGACGGUGGUAAAACCCAUGA
rnacentral:sRNA from 1 species